CUUUCUCUCUCUCUUCCACUCUCCCUAAAAAUCAAUGGAAAAAUAUCCUCGAGUGAGGGUGUAGUGGGAAGUGGCAUCUGGUAGCAGAAAUGAGAAGAAAAUGUGGGAGGAUAGAAGAGGUAAGGUAAUAGGAAAUUAAGAAAAACACACGUCCCGGAAAGAACUGCUCUUCACCCCUACCACUCAGCCUGAGCCAUGCUCUAGGCUAGGGUGUGUGUGUGUUUAAACAAAUCUCCAUAGCAACCAUCUGGUUUCUGUCUUUCUAUGACAGCACAGGCUUUUGGUUUCUAAAUAUGGGCACUAGAGAGAACUAGUGAGGACUGGGAGGGGGGUGGGGGGGAAACUAGGCAGAAAACACAGAUUUCUUUGGUAUGCCUUCAAUUAUCCCUCCCAGUUCACCCUCAAGGUAGGAAAGGGGCUUAAGGUCUUUUCUUGAUUCACAACAGUCACAAUUAAGCACCGAGUCUUGCAUACCUUUGUAUUCUUUUAACCAAUUAUGUAAAUUCCUAUCCUGUCAGGGGGAUUCCCCUGGGGCAAGAGGGGAGAGAGAGAGAGAGAAACUUUUGCUUCCCAUUUUCACUCCAGGUGCCACUUUCGGGCAGAGAGGUCAGAGGAUCCCCUCCAAGGAUGGUGUGGUGGCCCCAGAGGGAAAGAAGCCAUGGACAAGGGUGUAUGAGUAAGGACAGGCACCGCUGAGAUUAAGUGGGCCCAGGCCAGAGUACUGAGAGCCCCUUAAGUCAGCACAGUGACUCUCAGCCAGGGGACCCCAAGGGACAUUUGGUAACGUCUGGGGACUUUUUGAUGGUCCUGACCGAGCAUCUAGUGGGUAGAGGAAGGAGAUGCUGUUAAUAUUUAUCUUAUGACACACAGGACAAAAAACCAAACCAAGACAACACACAACAACAA